UACGUAGGGUCCGAGCGUUGUCCGGAAUCAUUGGGCGUAAAGAGCGUGUAGGCGGCCCGAUAAGUCCGCUGUGAAAGUCCAGGGCUCAACCCUGGGAUGCCGGUGGAUACUGUCGGGCUCGAGUCCGGAAGAGGAGUGUGGAAUUCCUGGUGUAGCGGUGAAAUGCGCAGAUAUCAGGAGGAACACCAAUGGCGAAGGCAGCACUCUGGGACGUGACUGACGCUGAGACGCGAAAGCGUGGGGAGCAAACAGG
rnacentral:rRNA from 1 species